UCGCCUACGGGGGGCAGCAGUGAGGGAUAUUGGUCAAUGGGGGAAACCCUGAACCAGCAACGCCGCGUGAGGGAAGACGGUUUUCGGAUUGUAAACCUCUGUCCUCUGUGAAGAUAAUGACGGUAGCAGAGGAGGAAGCUCCGGCUAACUACGUGCCAGCAGCCGCGGUAAUACGUAGGGAGCGAGCGUUAUCCGGAUUUACUGGGUGUAAAGGGAGCGUAGACGGCAGGGCAAGCCUGGAGUGAAAGCCCGGGGCCCAACCCCGGGACUGCUUUGGAAACUGCCAUGCUAGAGUG
rnacentral:rRNA from 1 species